rnacentral:rRNA from 1 species
AUUGAACGCUGGCGGCAGGCCUAACACAUGCAAGUCGAACGAGUGGCGGACGGGUGAGUAAUGUCUGGGAAACUGCCUGAUGGAGGGGGAUAAAUACUGGAAACGGUAGCUAAUACCGCAUACCAUCAGAUGUGCCCAGAUGGGAGUAGCUUGAUGGUGGGGUAACGGCUCACCAAGGCGACGAUCACUAGCUGGGCUGAGAGGAUGACCGUCCACACUGGAACGGAGACACGGUCCAGACUCCUACGGGAGGCAGCAGUGGGGCAUAUUGCACAAUGGGCGCAAGCCUGAUGCAGCCAUGCCGCGUGUAUGACGAAGGCCUUCGGGUUGUAAAGUACUGUCAGCGGGGAGGCGUUACCCGCCGAAUAAGCACCGGCUAACUCCGUGCCAGCCGCCGCGGUAAUUC